AGAUUGUACGCUGGCGGCAUGCUUUACACAUGCAAGUCGAACGGCAGCGCGGGGCAACCUGGCGGCGAGUGGCGAACGGGUGAGUAAUAUAUCGGAACGUACCCAAGAGUGGGGGAUAACGUAGCGAAAGUUACGCUAAUACCGCAUACGAUCUAAGGAUGAAAGCAGGGGACCGCAAGGCCUUGUGCUCCUGGAGCGGCCGAUAUCUGAUUAGCUAGUUGGUAGGGUAAAGGCCUACUAAGGCUACGAUCAGUAGCUGGUCUGAGAGGACGACCAGCCACACUGGAACUGAGACACGGUCCAGACUCCUACGGGAGGCAGCAGUGGGGAAUUUUGGACAAUGGGCGCAAGGCCUGAUCCAGCAAUGCCGCGUGAGGUGAAGAAGGCCUUCGGUUGUAAGCUCUUUUGUCAGGAAGAAACGGUGGAGCUAAUAUCUCUUACUAAUGACGUACCUGAAGAAUAAGACACGACUAACUACGUAGACCUAGCAGCCGUA
rnacentral:rRNA from 1 species